CCUGAGCCCUCGCUCCCGACCUCGUCUCUCUCCUGCCAAAUACCGUCGCCGCCAGAGAGAGGAAGGAGCGCAGCGGACGCACCGAGGAGCAGGGUGUCGCCUCGCUCGCUUCUGCUGACCACCGCCACCUCCACCGCCGUCGACGCCGCGGCGGACGCGGUGAGUCCCAAGCCGCGGGACACUGGGCGCGGCCUCCCCGUCGCAGCGACAGGAAGAGCAGGGCCGCGGGAGCCGGCGACGGCUCCGGCCCGCCCCGAACCUGACCUCCGCCCCCAGGCGAGCUCUGGGUCCGCCGCCCCGUAAUCCGCUCGAGUCGCGCCUAACGCCAUGGUUUAUUGCAGGUGGAGGUGGAGUACGUGCCGGAUAUGCCCGACCUCCGCACCGACGACCCCCUCCCCCUCGGCGCCUUCGCGGCGGCCCCCGCCCCCAGGCGAGCUCCAGUUCCUCCGCCCCGUAAUCUGCUGGAGCCGCGCGCCUAACACGAUGGCGGCGAGAGCAUGGGCGGUCGCGGUGGUGAGGACUAGCUCGAAGAGGAGGAGUCCGCCACUAUGAGGAUUGAGGACCUUGUUCAACAACACUACUCGGGCCUCCAGCAAUGGCAGGUUGGGGAUACCUGAGAUGUGUCCUCUCCGCCUCCAGUAAAGAUUUUCUGUGAUUGUUUGUUUUGCAAUAUAUUAGGCAGUGUUAUUUCUUCAUGUUAUUAGCUGCCCAUUUGAGACGUGAGCAAAAGAACAGCGGCGAUGCACAACCCUACACAGCACCACUCGUUGUCAUCUUGUCGGUCAAGUAGGCGCAUCGGAGGCUGCUCCACGCCUCCACCAUGGAAUCAAAUGGGAAUUCUACUAUACAAGAUUAUAUCAAGGGGAAAGGAUAAGGGAGAAUGGGACUCUAUGAAGAAAGAACAAGAAGGUGUCCCUGAAAAAUAAGCAGCUGGAGAACAACAAGCUUAUUGUUGACUUUCUACAGAAAAUGUCGUAACACCUGAGAAAAUUGCUGAUGAGUUUGUCAAUAAUUUGGCAAUGUGGUGUCGAAGUCUUUGCCCAUGAGGUUACACCUUCAAGGGUGACAUUGAAGAAGCAUUCAGAUGCACAGACAUAACAGAAGAUCAACUUGCACGUACAAGUUGUAUUGCAGACGAUGGGGCCAUGCGGUUGAAUGUGUCUGGUCAAGUUGAGCAAGAAGCAUGAUAUCAUUAACGAGAUGUUCACAAAAUUUCUUCAAAGUUUAUUUGAUGGUGUGGCAUAUUUUUUUCUGGUUAAGUUUUCUGUAUAUUUCUAUAUUUGUUUGUACAAACUGGAAGCUACAGAUGAACUUCAUAUAUACUCUUCCAACUUCGUUCAAUAAGAUCAAAGUAUGC
rnacentral:rRNA from 1 species